rnacentral:rRNA from 1 species
UACGUAGGUGACAAGCGUUGUCCGGAUUUACUGGGCGUAAAGAGCGCGCAGGCGGUCGUUCAAGUCGAGUGUGAAAGCCCCCGGCUCAACUGGGGAGGGUCACUCGAUACUGAUCGACUCGAAGGCAGGAGAGGGAAGUGGAAUUCCCGGUGUAGUGGUGAAAUGCGUAGAUAUCGAGAGGAACACCUGCGGCGAAGGCGGGUUGCUGGGCUGACACUGACGCUGAUGCGCGAAAGCUAGGGGAGCGAACGGG